rnacentral:misc_RNA from 1 species
GUAUAUAGUUUAUAAGGCAAUUAAGCCUAAUAAUGACAUUCUGUUACAUUCUUAAGGUGUAUAUGAAAACAUAGCCCUGGAAACUAACAAGGAAAGCCUAUUAAGCAAUUCCUCACAACCGAGUUUCCUCGGAAAGUUGAAUCCAGGUCUACAAAAGGUGCACAGGUGGAGAUAUAAAGAUGACAAGGUGUGCACAUGUCUCCGAAAAGACCAGCAUCAACCAAGCCAGGUUUAUUCAAUAAUGAUCCUUCCGCAGGUUCACCUACGGAAA